CACAUGCAAGUCGAGGGGCAGCGGAGAGGUAGCAAUACCUUUGCCGGCGACCGGCGCACGGGUGAGUAACACGUAUGCAAUCCACCUGUAACAGGGGGAUAACCCGGAGAAAUCCGGACUAAUACCCCAUAAUAUGGGCUCUCCGCAUGGAGGGUCCAUUAAAGAGAGCAAUUUUGGUUACAGACGAGCAUGCGCUCCAUUAGCCAGUUGGCGGGGUAACGGCCCACCAAAGCGACGAUGGAUAGGGGUUCUGAGAGGAAGGUCCCCCACAUUGGAACUGAGACACGGUCCAAACUCCUACGGGAGGCAGCAGUGAGGAAUAUUGGUCAAUGGUCGGCAGACUGAACCAGCCAAGUCGCGUGAGGGAAGACGGCCCUACGGGUUGUAAACCUCUUUUGUCGGAGAGUAAAGUACGCUACGUGUAGCGUAUUGCAAGUAUCCGAAGAAAAAGCAUCGGCUAACUCCGUGCCAGCAGCCGCGGUAAUACGGAGGAUGCAAGCGUUAUCCGGAUUUAUUGGGUUUAAAGGGUGCGUAGGCGGCACGCCAAGUCAGCGGUGAAAUUUCCGGGCUCAACCCGGACUGUGCCGUUGAAACUGGCGAGCUAGAGUGCACAAGAGGCAGGCGGAAUGCGUGGUGUAGCGGUGAAAUGCAUAGAUAUCACGCAGAACCCCGAUUGCGAAGGCAGCCUGCUAGGGUGCGACAGACGCUGAGGCACGAAAGCGUGGGUAUCGAACAGGAUUAGAUACCCUGGUAGUCCACGCAGUAAACGAUGAAUACUAACUGUUUGCGAUACAAUGUAAGCGGUACAGCGAAAGCGUUAAGUAUUCCACCUGGGGAGUACGCCGGCAACGGUGAAACUCAAAGGAAUUGACGGGGG
rnacentral:rRNA from 1 species